CCCAUGUCAACUGACCCUACCCAAAUGAGAGUUAGAAUUAGCAAGUAGAUCAAUGAAAUUAUAUCUUUCUCUCUUAGGGAAUUGAUUUUGGAAAUAAAGAGAAAAUGAGCUGGCUGGUAGCAGGACAAGAAUCAUGAAGGAACACUUAGAAGAGAGAUUUUCAUUACCUGCGGUUGACUACGGUCCAGAAGCAAUGAUCCUCCUUCUGGCAUGUUGCCAGAAGGUCGGUGGUACCUCAAUGUCACAGUGCCCAUGCCAUUCACCUCAUCAUCUCUCGUCAUCACAAGGAGAAGGGUUUGAGGGGACUUACAAAGAUGUGUGGCUUUGAGUGUGUUCCUCAGGGAAGAAAUCAGCGGUGCUACACUAAGGGCAGGGGAUCUGGAUGAAACCCGCUAUGAGGGGAGCCCUCAGUAUUUAUAUCAGGAAGUCCUGAGCAUUUCCUAUGGAGCUUCCCAGCAGUCAGCACGAGGAAGAAACACGAUUCCACGUCCAAAAGGUAACGGUUCAUCUGAGCGGAGGACAGAAACCCAAGAGAAACUUCUCCUGUUUGGGGCCCUGGCUCUCCAAGUCCUUCAGCCCAUGUUUUCACCCUGGUGCUCCCACCCCUGCCCUCAAGAGAAUAGGGCGAGGCAGUGUCCCAGGGAUACGUGCUGUGGGGCCCGCACCCAGAUACCUGUUACUUUCCCGGGUGCGGUUUGGGGGAAGCCCAGCUCGUGAGGGCUGGGUUUCUGCUCUUUGGGGUGCCCAGCUUGCCAUCCUGGUUUCUGGAACCGGGACUUGUGUCCUCAGCCAGCGCUUUGCUGCUCAGCCCAUCUUGCUCACUGGUGCUCCUCGGUGGCCUGGCCCCUUCCCCAGUGACAGCUCUACUCGGAGCAGCUCUGUGGGGGCCGGGCUCUUUCCAUCUUGGCAUUUGGGUUGAGGGAUCUUUCCAUUUUCUGGCUCCUGUGUUUGAGUUGAAUUCAUAUACUGCCCCAGUAACUAGGGGAAAAAAUACACAAUCGCCAUAUAAAUGAGGGAAUUCAAAUGCUUGCCUCUCCCAUCUCCACCCCGCUCCAUUCUUACCCCCAGGGAAAGAGGAAAGGCCUUAGGAGGGGUGAGUUGUGGAGAGAGGAAGCAGGCUGGUGAAUGGCACCAUCUUCCCCAGCCUGCCCUUUCCCUGAGCUACAGGGCUCCCGCCACACAGGUAUCAUGCAAAUCACAUGCAAAUAUCAUGCCCCCCUGGAUAGAAAGGCUUAGGACAGGCUCUCAGUUGCAAGAUUAAAAAGCUACAGAAGUCUUGAAUUACAUAUUGGCUUUGGAUAAAUUUGGUUCAGUUUCUAAUGGGGUUACCCAUUAUGUUCUGAUUUUUUUUUUAAGAUUUUAUUUAUUUUUUUGAGAGAGAGAGACUGAGAGAGCGAGCAAGAGAGCCCAAGCUGGGGGUGGGGUGGGGGGAGAAGCAGACUUCCCGCUGAGCAGGGAGCCCAAAGUGGGAUUUGAUCCCACAACCCUGAGAUCAGGACCUGAGCCGAAGGCAGACGCUUAACCGAGAGAGCCACCCAGGCAUCCCUGAUGGGUUUGUUUUAAAAGCCCCCUGCAUCCCAGACACAAGAAGAAAGUCACCGAGGAAGGAGGAAAGGACUCUGGCUUUAAUUUCGGUUAGGUUAGCGGAGAUUCGUAGACAGGGACAGGGAGUCGGGCCUCUGUGGAGACGGCGCGAGGGAGCCAUCUUGACUGUGUCAGCGGCCAGCACUAAUUGGUGUGUUUGUUCCCGUUAGUGCAGUUGGCUCUUUCUUCCUUGUUUCCUUCUCUCAAGCAAAUAAAUGUGGAUCACAGCCUUGGUCCUCCCUGGCUUUUGCCCCAGAAGAUGGAGUCCCGGGCGAUGCCCCGCUCCUGCCGUUUCCCUGCGGCAUGAGUGGCUCUCGGCAGAGGAUCCCACCAGCACUUAUGCUAAUGUGGGCACAUUAUGGUAACAAGUACCUAAUAAUAGAGGGAAAUUUAAUUCCAGCAGCAGCAGCAGCCUCUCCUGGAGAGGAGCCAUCCUUCCGAGAAGGACCGAGUCGAUUGCGUGUGAGGGUGGCAGGCAGCCAGCACACUUGCCUCCCGAGUUUGGUUUCCUUCCCUUUAUUCACAUCUAUAAUUGAGCUUUUGUAAGUGGAGGGAUGUGUGUAAAGGAGCUAAAUUUGGAGCUGAUUUCAUGGGGGUGAGGGGAGCUCUGGAGGCCAGCUUUACCUUAUGUUCAUCUCGCCGACCAAGAAGAAAUUCUUGGCCCCGAUCGAGGGGAAGAAGGGAGCCAAGCCUGCCAUUUCUCCAUCGCUCUCACUACCCACAGGCGGUGUGAGCAGCAUUCAGAAAGGACUGCUGGAGGAGGUUGAGCUCCAAAGAGCAGGCAGGAUUCACCAACCCCUGAGCCGGCUUGGGAUUUAGGAAGGGCGGCUAGCGAGGGCCGAAGCCUUCAGUGGAAAUGUGCCGGGGCCUCACGCGUGGCCCGAGGCUUGAGCGUCUGCCUGCUCGGGGGGUGCCGUCCCGCGGGACGGCGGCAGGAAGGGCCAGGCCACCUAUUCAGAUGAAGGCACAAACUAAGUUAAGGGCAGGACCUGGCAUAGGGUCCUCUAUGAGUCUACCCGCCUGGAAGAGGAAAAACACCUUUGGAUGGAUGGCAUUGCCCCUUAAUUACCUGGAUCGAUGGCUUCUCCGUCAAAGACAGAGUUCAUGUGAAUCGUUUCCUGAGGGGGGGAAAGAGACAGCUUCAGGCACAAUCCUGACACACCUGCCACGGGGCCAGGCUGCUCCUCCUCACGACCGGCUGCGUCCCUUACCCAGGGCCUUCUUGACCCUUGUCUACUUGCUAGGCACCGUGCUAGAUGCAGGGGGCAUGGCAGGGAGCACGGCAGGCGCAGGGGCUGCCUGCACAGAGCCUGCAGGCAGUGGGAGCCCCGCCAACAGGUGCACAGCAUAGAGUGGUGAGGCGGACCGAGGGACGCUGGCGUGCUCGGGGGCCGCAGGAGGGCCAGGAGGACAGCUAACCCAGCUCGGGAGGCAGAAAAGCAUCCCGGGUGAAUGCUGUGUAAGCCGCGCAGAAAGAAGAGCAGAAAUGCCACACGACCUUGGCUGAGACCCCUUCUGUCAGGCCCGUGGGCAAGGCAGGCAGAGAGCAGCACUCACGUGCUCUCACCCGUGGGCUCUGGCUGUGUCCCCUCGCCUAGGCCAACACAGGGUCACAUCUGGGCCUGGCCUGCCUUCCCUAUGUCCUGUGCUCCGCCUCCCCUCCUUUCCCUGCUCUCUGUGCCACCCUCCGGGACCUGAGCUCUGUCCCCAAGGAACACCCCUUCUCUCACAAGGUGCCCUCCGGAGGUGCCCUUCUUUAGCUCGCUGACGAGGAUGGUGUUUGGAGUCUAGGGGGUCCCUCCGGCACUGGUUCGCAUCACACCAGCCAUCGUCUACGCACUGGCCCAUGGCUCCCCAACUCCCACGACAGAGGAAAUGGAGACCAGAUGGGUUUUAUCCAUUCCAACAGCUCAGCAGCUGCGCUUUUCAUGGUCAUGGGGAUUUACUUAUUUAAUUGAUUAAUUUAAUAGUACAUACUUCUAAGGUGGUCUCUGAGUGGGAUCACCGGGGGUUCUUGCCUUAGACACUACGACUAAGGAGAUAAGAGAUCCCCUCUUCCUCCUGAGUGUAGACAGGCCCGUCCGGAUAAGCACUUAGGUGACGGACCUGAAGAAGAAGUUCUGGAGCCCGGACUUGUGUUCGUCAUUGUGCAUAUCAUUCCCCCCAUUGAUGGGUCUUGGAUCAUCACAGACUCUUAUUAUCAGGGGGUGAGGGAGAUGGGGAGGGGUCACCUUCAAGUUCUGUCACUUCCCAGGGGGCAGAUCAGGUGCGGUAAAGAAAAACAAGGAGCUAAGGGGGGGCGGCGGGGAGACUCUCCAGCUAUCUUGUAACACUUGGCAUCUGUGUGACUCUUAACAGUUCUCAAGGUAGUUCCCCACCUGCGACCCCAGGGCAGGUGUUCUCACUCCCAUUUUACAGAUGAGGAAUCUAAGGCUCAAAGAGGCUGAGGGAGCCUGCCAAGUGUGCAGAGCCCACCCCUGGCCCAAGCGGUGACCUGUCUCCCUCGCUUUUCUGCAAGGUUGUGAAACAGCAAAGAAAAAAUAAAUCCCACCGAAAGCUGAGGCUCGAGUUCUGGUCUUUAAGCCCUUCUCCCUCCAACCCACUCUCCUGGAGAGCUGGUGUAGAUAAUAAACACCACUAUUCAAUAUUUAUGAAAUCCACUUCUUCUGCAAAUAUAUCAGCAGACAUGUUCAGUGGAGGGAACAAAUUCUAUCAGGAGCUCGUCACACACAGCAAUCUGUUCCAGUGGCCAAAUGCAAGCAUCUCCCUGAAUGAUAAACACUCCCAUGAGGCUGUGGCAGGGUCUGCCUGAGAGGGGACGGGAGGGGCCCACCACACGCCACCCAAGCCACGUGCCCUGCAGCCACCACACUUACCACCAAAACCUCUGUCUUUGUAGCUUUCAUUUCUGCAGGGAACAGAACAGAUAGAAGUGAAGCUCCUUGGACACCAAAUUGACCUUAAAAUCCUACCUCCACGAUGGGAUUUCUCUUAAACAGGCUUUGAACUUAGUACUGCAGACACUACAAGGAAUUCUCUCUCUGUAGAAAUGUUUAUUGACAGUUUUCUACCUUCGCAGAAAAAUACACACACACAUACACACACACGUACAUGCACACACAUAAUAAUAACAUACAGAAUUUUUUUAAGUGUUACUCUUUUCCCAAUUUAUUGCUAUUACUGGACCUGGGAAAUUAGCUUUUUACUGAAAGACAAGAAAGAUCCAGUUGAUACCUUUGUUUGUAAUGUGCAGUUUCCUUGCAUCCAUUCCCUAUGCCCUUUUUAAAAAGUAACUAGGGUGGGUGACAGUCUGUGAAGACCUCAUUAAAAUCAUUUCACUUGAUAUGAUCAAUAACCAUUAUAAUCAAAUUUCUAACCCCGCUUAGUGCCUUGUGCAUGUCAGACUCGCAUGGCUAUGGAUUGAGUGAUUAAAGCCAUCUUUUUUGGGUGCUGGGUGGCUCAGUCAAUUAAGCAACUUCCUUUUGCUCAGGUCAUGAUCCUGGAGUCCCAGGAUCGAGUCCCACAUCAGGCUCCCUGCUCAGUGGGGAGUCUGCUUCUCCCUCUGACCCUACCCCCUCUCGUGCUGUCUCUCUCUCAAAUAAAUAAAUAAAAUCUUAAACACACUUUCCAGUUCUCUGUCCUGUCUCUCCCCAUAGCCUGUCUUCCCCCUGAGGCAGCAACUUUCGGGGUGGGUGCUGAUGUCCCCUUGGGCUUGGCAUUGUUAUUCAGAUGGAAACUUGCUCAACUCACCAGUGCCCCAGCUCUCCCUGCCCAUCGGACUGCACCCCGCCCCCCUUUCCGACUCGCCUGACCCAAAUAACUUGUGAAAAUGAUCAAAUCCGUUACAAUCUGAGAAUAAAGUGUCAUUUGUUCUUGCAAAAGAGGCAUCUGUCCAAUACAGAGCCUCAGCUGUCCUCGGGAGCAGUCCCACCCCUCCACGUGCCACAGAAAGUAGAUACUGUCUGUGUUUCUCUCAUGGGGAGUUCUUCCCUCCUGGCGCCCUUGGCGGGGAGCAGACCUCUAGGUGCCUCAGUUCAGCAGGCUGGAGGCAAGUCUGGGUAGGGAAGGCAGGACUCAGAGGAGAGAUCCGAGUGCCCUAUGGCACCAUGUGCCCUGCCCUGCCCUUUUCUAUCUCCGGCUACAUCUGACCUCUGCAUCAUUUCAGCCGCAGAAGCCACGACUGGAAACACACCGAGACAGAACUGCACCCUGAUUCUCUGCUGAGUUGGAACCCUUUUAUUUAGUACAAGAGAGCAAGCAAAACCCAACAACGACAGCCAC